rnacentral:rRNA from 1 species
UACGUACCGUACGAACGUUAUUCGGAAUUACUGGGCUUAAAGGGUUUGUAGGCGGCCUUGUAAGUCAGGUGUGAAAGCCCUCGGCUCAACCGAGGAAUAGCGCUUGAUACUGCAAGGCUUGAGGGAGACAGGGGUAAGCGGAACUGAUGGUGGAGCGGUGAAAUGCGUAGAUAUCUGGAGGAACACCGGUGGCGAAGGCGGCAUCCUGGACCGGCAUUGACGCUGAGGAGCGAAAGCCAGGGGAGCAAACGGG